rnacentral:rRNA from 1 species
UACCUCGGCGUCAGGAGUGAACGGACUCGGCGGCGGUGCGUUAACUAACAUAGCAAGUACGGAACGAAGACGACUACCGUACCGGAACGUUUUACGGUAGGGGAAGGAAGUGGUAAGUGACUGAGUGGCGGACGGGUCGGAGUAACGACGUGGCGAAUACCUGCCCCAUAGAGGGGGACAACAGCUGGAAACGGCUGCUAAUACCGCAUAACAAGGAGAGAGCGCAUGUUCUUUUCUUCAAAGAUUUAUCGCUAUGGGAUGGACCCGCGUCUGAUUAGCUGGUUGGUGAGGUAACGGCUCACCAAGGCGACGAUCAGUAGCCGGCUUGAGAGAGUGGACGGCCACAUUGGGACUGAGACACGGCCCAGACUCCUACGGGAGGCAGCAGUGGGGAAUACUGCACAAUGGGGGAAACCCUGAUGCAGCGACGCCGCGUGAGUGAAGAAGUAUUUCGGUAUGUAAAGCUCUAUCAGCAGGGAAGAUAAUGACGGUACCUGACUAAGAAGCCCCGGCUAACUACGUG